CCGUUCUCUACGGACUAACUCAGGGAAACUUGUGCUAAUACCGUAUACGCCCUUUUGGGGAAAGAUUUAUCGGAGAAUGAUGAGCCCAUGUUGGAUUAGCUAGUUGGUAGGGUAAAGGCCUACCAAGGCGACUAUCCAUAGCUGGUCUGAGAGGAUGAUCAGCCACACUGGGACUGAGACACGGCCCAGACUCCUACGGGAGGCAGCAGUGGGGAAUAUUGGACAAUGGGCGCAAGCCUGAUCCAGCCAUGCCGCGUGAGUGAUGAAGGCCCUAGGGUUGUAAAGCUCUUUCACCGGUGAAGAUAAUGACGGUAACCGGAGAAGAAGCCCCGGCUAACUUCGUGCCAGCAGCCGCGGUAAUACGAAGGGGGCUAGCGUUGUUCGGAUUUACUGGGCGUAAAGCGCACGUAGGCGGACUUUUAAGUCAGGGGUGAAAUCCCGGGGCUCAACCCCGGAACUGCCUUUGAUACUGGAAGUCUUGAGUAUGGA
rnacentral:rRNA from 1 species